GACUCGAUAGCGGAUGGUCCGCACCUGCUCUCCGUCAUACGGCAUCUAGCCACUAUGUUGAAAGCAGGUUCAACCCGGUUCGAUUCCGGGUCGGGUCA